GACAUGGCCAAUCCUGAAAGGGUUGGAUCCUACGCUCCUAGGAGGCUACUAUAGGCUCUCCUUCUCAACUCCUACUCAAUACGUCCACGACGUGCAGAACGAUAACUUGUCGCCUAGAUAACCAAGCUUGGGUACACAGGGAAAUCCACCCCCUAGGGCGGAUGGGCGGCAAGGCUGAAUUGAGAGGG
rnacentral:ribozyme from 1 species